CUUCGCUCUCCCCCCCACAAUAACGAGAGCCACACCAGAGGCCAGAGCUGUGCUGUCUCAGCAAGCAAAGGGCAAAGGAGGCAACGAGAUGCUGUAGGGACUCUGACUCUUGCUGCCAGGCUGCAACAAGAGGAAGGGAGAUUCUGGCCCCCAACAGGUGAAAACAAGAGAGGAGCAAGGCAGGAAGCACAAAAGCAAACCUCUCUCAUGAAGGAAACAGCACAACUUCAAGCACAGCUUUCAGCACAGCAUACCAAGGAGGAACAGAAAUCCCAAGCAGAGCAGAGGGGAGGAGUGGCUUAGAGAAAAGCAAAAGCACCCCACAAAGCACACAGCCAAAACACCACCCCACAAAGGACACAGCCAACCUACCCCCGCAAAGGGGAGCAGCCAAAGGCUUCUGCCUCUCCUGGGGCAACUUAAAAAGGGGAGGUCAAUUGAAGUCUCCUCCCACCCCAGCUGUGGCCACUUUGCCCUCCCUGCUCAGUGCCCUUUAUAAGCAGAGCAGGAGGAGCCCAGCCCCAAGCUGGGCCCAUUGCGGGCCAAGGGAUCCUCCGCCUGGCAUCCCAGAAAGCAGGAGUCAGCCACCUGCCACCCAUCCCCUCCUGAUCCCAACCCCAGAAACCCAAAGCAGCACUUGGCACAGGAGGUCUCUCGUGUUGCAGUCUCACCUUCACGCCCUGGAAUACUUUGCUUCAGCCAGCAGCAUGGGGUUGGAUACCAACAGCAGAGUCGACUUAACCUGUGACUAAGUGGACUUUAAGUGUUCUGACUCCACAGUAGAACUUGAUAAAGAAAGAUGUGAAUGGAAGCAGGCUCUGACUGCUCUGUGUAACUGAUGAGAAGCUUUCUGAAGGAGGUGAAUUUGUUUUACAGCCCUUCACUCAGCUGGUUACAGAUCUUCAAGGUAGCUGCUGGUGCAGUGUCUGUUGGAGACUGUUAGCCACUCUGAAGGAGGGAGUUAGUGGAGCAUCAUAGGAACAUGUAGAGAGAUUGGUCAGUAAAAGGCAUUUGUGUUA